GAUGAACGCUGACAGAAUGCUUAACACAUGCAAGUCUUUGGCGAAGCUGUGCUUGCACAGCCUAGCCAAGGCGGACGGGUGAGUAACGCGUAAGGAACUUGCCCUGCAGUCAGGGAUAACAGACGGAAACGACUGAUAAGACCUGGUAAAGUCAGGCGGACUCAUGUCCAGCCUGAUGAAAAGAGAUGCUGCAGGAGAGCCUUGCGUCCUAUUAGCUUGUUGGUGGGGUAACGGCCCACCAAGGCGAUGAUAGGUAGCCGGCCUGAGAGGGUGGACGGCCACAAGGGGACUGAGACACGGCCCUUACUCCUACGGGAGGCAGCAGUGGGGAAUAUUGGACAAUGGGGGCAACCCUGAUCCAGCAAUUCUGUGUGCACGAUGAAGGUUUUCGGAUUGUAAAGUGCUUUCAGCAGGGAAGAAAAAAAUGACGGUACCUGCAGAAGAAGCGACGGCUAAAUACGUGCCAGCAGCCGCGGUAAUACGUAUGUCGCAAGCGUUAUCCGGAAUUAUUGGGCAUAAAGGGCAUCUAGGCGGCCAGAUAAGUCUGGGGUGAAAACUUGCGGCUCAACCGCAAGCCUGCCCUGGAAACUAUGUGGCUAGAGUACUGGAGAGGUGGACGGAACUGCACGAGUAGAGGUGAAAUUCGUAGAUAUGUGCAGGAAUGCCGAUGAUGAAGAUAGUUCACUGGACGGUAACUGACGCUGAAGUGCGAAAGCUAGGGGAGCAAACAGG
rnacentral:rRNA from 1 species